GGGUGGAUUAUGAGAUCUCACAUCGGGUGGAGAGAAGAACAAAACAUUCUUUAGAAGCGUAUGGAAACCUCUAUCUA